rnacentral:rRNA from 1 species
UACGUAGGGUCCGAGCGUUGUCCGGAAUUACUGGGCGUAAAGCGCACGUAGGCGGCCUUGUAAGUUAGAGGUGAAAGCCCAGGGCUCAACCCUGGAAUUGCCUUUAAGACUGCAUCGCUUGAACACGGGAGAGGUGAGUGGAAUUCCGAGUGUAGAGGUGAAAUUCGUAGAUAUUCGGAAGAACACCAGUGGCGAAGGCGGCUCACUGGACCGUUGUUGACGCUGAGGUGCGAAAGCGUGGGGAGCAAACAGG